UGAGGAAUUUUGCGCAAUGGGCGAAAGCCUGACGCAGCGACGCCGCGUGGGCGACGAAGCUCUUUGGAGUGUAAAGCCCUGUCAGGUGGGACGAAUCGGGGGAGGACAAAUAAUUCUCCCCUCUGACGGUACCACCAGAGGAAGCCCCGGCUAACUCCGUGCCAGCAGCCGCGGUAAUACGGAGGGGGCGAGCGUUGUUCGGAAUCACUGGGUGUAAAGGGUGCGUAGGCGGUCCGUUAAGUCUGAUGUGAAAUCCCUGGGCUCAACUCAGGAACUGCAUUGGAAAUUGGCGGGCUAGAAUACCGGAGAGGGAAGCGGAAUUCCUGGUGUAGCGGUGAAAUGCGUAGAUACCAGGAGGAACACCGGUGGCGAAGGCGGCUUCCUGGACGAGUAUUGACGCUGAGGCACGAAAGCGUGGGGAGCGAACGG
rnacentral:rRNA from 1 species